rnacentral:rRNA from 1 species
CCCCAGACUCCUACGGGAGGCAGCAGUGGGGAAUAUUGCACAAUGGGGGAAACCCUGAUGCAGCGACGCCGCGUGAGCGAUGAAGUAUUUCGGUAUGUAAAGCUCUAUCAGCAGGGAAGAGGAUGACGGUACCUGACUAAGAAGCCCCGGCUAACUACGUGCCAGCAGCCGCGGUAAUACGUAGGGGGCAAGCGUUAUCCGGAUUUACUGGGUGUAAAGGGAGCGUAGACGGCGAUGCAAGCCAGAUGUGAAAGCCCGGGGCUCAACCCCGGGACUGCAUUUGGAACUGUGUGGCUGGAGUGUCGGAGAGGCAGGCGGAAUUCCUAGUGUAGCGGUGAAAUGCGUAGAUAUUAGGAGGAACACCAGUGGCGAAGGCGGCCUGCUGGACGAUGACUGACGUUGAGGCUCGAAAGCGUGGGGAGCAAACAGGAUUAGAUACCCUAGUA